rnacentral:rRNA from 1 species
AGAGUUUGAUCCUGGCUCAGAUUGAACGCUGGCGGCACGCCUAACACAUGCAAGUCGAGCGGUAACAUGAUUAGUAGCAAUACUAGUUGAUGACGAGCGGCGGACGGGUGAGGAACACGUAGGAACCUACCUUUCAGAGGGGGACUACCAAGGGAAACUUUGGCUAAUACCGCAUAAUCUCGAGAGAGGAAAGUUGCUCGCAAGGGUGACACUGAAAGAGGGGCCUGCGUCCGAUUAGCUAGUUGGUGAGGUAAAGGCUCACCAAAGCGAUGAUCGGUAACUGGUCUGAGAGGACGACCAGUCACACUGGGACUGAGACACGGCCCAGACUCCUACGGGAGGCAGCAGUGGGGAAUCUUGGACAAUGGGGGCAACCCUGAUCCAGCGAUGCCGCGUGGGUGAAGAAGGCCUUCGGGUUGUAAAGCCCUUUAGGUUGGGACGAAGUGUUGUAGAGGAAAUGCUAUAACAUUGAC